CAAGUCGAACGAGAGAGAAGGAGCUUGCUUCUUCGAUCGAGUGGCGAACGGGUGAGUAACGCGUGAGGAACCUGCCUCAAAGAGGGGGACAACAGUUGGAAACGACUGCUAAUACCGCAUAAGCCCACGACCCGGCAUCGGGAAGAGGGAAAAGGAUUUAUUCGCUUUAGGAUGGACUCGCGUCCAAUUAGCUAGUUGGUGAGGUAACGGCCCACCAAGGCGACGAUUGGUAGCCGGACUGAGAGGUUGAACGGCCACAUUGGGACUGAGACACGGCCCAGACUCC
rnacentral:rRNA from 1 species